rnacentral:rRNA from 1 species
UACAGAGGUCCCGAGCGUUGUUCGGAUUCACUGGGCGUAAAGCGCGCGCAGGCGGCGAUCUACGUCUGGGGUGAAAGCCCGGAGCUCAACUCCGGGACUGCCUUGGAUACGGGAUCGCUUGAGGAUUGGAGAGGCAAGGGGAAUUCCACGUGUAGCGGUGAAAUGCGUAGAGAUGUGGAGGAACACCUGUGGCGAAGGCGCCUUGCUGGCCAAUUACUGACGCUGAGGCGCGAAAGCGUGGGGAGCAAACAGG